AAGGAUACCUGGUAGGGGAGAUACCAUGAUCACCACAGUAGGUUUCCCAGAGUGAGGCCUGUCCCUUGCAUACUAGGCAUGCUGACCCCUGCAAAUUUCCCCAUAGGCAGGACUUGACUGCACAAUUUUGUGGUAAUGGUGGACUGCUUAUUUAAUUUCUCCCCC
rfam:Alligator mississippiensis ScZkoYb_106, whole genome shotgun sequence.